rnacentral:rRNA from 1 species
AUGAACGCUAGCUACAGGCUUAACACAUGCAAGUCGAGGGGCAGCAUGGUCUUAGCUUGCUAAGGCCGAUGGCGACCGGCGCACGGGUGAGUAACACGUAUCCAACCUGCCGUCUACUCUUGGACAGCCUUCUGAAAGGAAGAUUAAUACAAGAUGGCAUCAUGAGUCCACAUGUUCACAUGAUUAAAGGUAUUCCGGUAGACGAUGGGGAUGCGUUCCAUUAGAUAGUAGGCGGGGUAACGGCCCACCUAGUCUUCGAUGGAUAGGGGUUCUGAGAGGAAGGUCCCCCACAUUGGAACUGAGACACGGUCCAAACUCCUACGGGAGGCAGCAGUGAGGAAUAUUGGUCAAUGGGCGAGAGCCUGAACCAGCCAAGUAGCGUGAAGGAUGACUGCCCUAUGGGUUGUAAACUUCUUUUAUAAAGGAAUAAAGUCGGGUAUGGAUACCCGUUUGCAUGUACUUUAUGAAUAAGGAUCGGCUAACUCCGUGCCAGCAGCCGCGGUAAUACGGAGGAUCCGAGCGUUAUCCGGAUUUAUUGGGUUUAAAGGGAGCGUAGAUGGAUGUUUAAGUCAGUUGUGAAAGUUUGCGGCUCAACCGUAAAAUUGCAGUUGAUACUGGAUAUCUUGAGUGCAGUUGAGGCAGGCGGAAUUCGUGGUGUAGCGGUGAAAUGCUUAGAUAUCACGAAGAACUCCGAUUGCGAAGGCAGCCUGCUAAGCUGCAACUGACAUUGAGGCUCGAAAGUGUGGGUAUCAAACAGGAUUAGAUACCCUGGUAGUCCACGCCGUAAACGAUGAAUACUAGGUGUCGGGGAGCAUUGCUCUUCGGUGCCGCAGCAAACGCAAUAAGUAUUCCACCUGGGGAGUACGACCGCAAGGUUGAAACUCAAAGGAAUUGACGGGGGCCCGCACAAGCGGAGGAACAUGUGGUUUAAUUCGAUGAUACGCGAGGAACCUUACCCGGGCUUAAAUUGCAGAUGAAUUACGGUGAAAGCCGUAAGCCGCAAGGCAUCUGUGAAGGUGCUGCAUGGUUGUCGUCAGCUCGUGCCGUGAGGUGUCGGCUUAAGUGCCAUAACGAGCGCAACCCUUGUUGUCAGUUACUAACAGGUUCCGCUGAGGACUCUGACAAGACUGCCAUCGUAAGAUGUGAGGAAGGUGGGGAUGACGUCAAAUCAGCACGGCCCUUACGUCCGGGGCUACACACGUGUUACAAUGGGGGGUACAGAGGGCCGCUACCACGCGAGUGGAUGCCAAUCCCAAAAACCUCUCUCAGUUCGGACUGGAGUCUGCAACCCGACUCCACGAAGCUGGAUUCGCUAGUAAUCGCGCAUCAGCCACGGCGCGGUGAAUACGUUCCCGGGCCUUGUACACACCGCCCGUCAAGCCAUGGGAGCCGGGGGUACCUGAAGUGCGUAACCGCGAGGAGCGCCCUAGGGUAAAACUGGUGACUGGGGCU